GAAAUGCGAUAAGUAGUGUGAAUUGCAGAAUUCAGUGAAUCAUCGAAUCUUUGAACGCACAUUGCGCCCUUUGGUAUUCCUUAGGGCAUGCCUGUUCGAGCGUCAUUUAAACCUUCAAGCUCAGCUUGGUGUUGGGUGACUGUCCGCCGCCUCCGGGCGCGUGGACUCGCCUCAAAAUUAUUGGCGGCCGGUACAUUGGCUUCGAGCGCAGCAGAAACGCGAACUCGGGCCCGUCGUAUUGGCUCCCAGAAGCUAUCUUCACAAUUUUGACCUCGGAUCAGGUAGGGAUACCCGCUGAACUUAA
rnacentral:misc_RNA from 1 species